rnacentral:rRNA from 1 species
UACAGAGGUCCCGAGCGUUUGUUCGGAUUUAUUGGGCGUAAAGGGUGCGUAGGCGGCGGAGUAAGUUGGGUGUGAAAUCCCGGGGCUCAACCUCGGAAUGGCAUUCAAUACUGCUUCGCUAGAGUACUGGAGAGGAGGCUGGAAUUUACGGUGUAGCAGUGAAAUGCGUAGAUAUCGUAAGGAAGGCCGGUGGCGAAAGCGAGUGACUGGCGCGUUCCUGACGCUGAGGUGCGAAAGCUAGGGGAGCAAACAUG